AUUGAACGCUGGCGGUAUGCUUUACACAUGCAAGUCGAACGGCAGCGCGGGCUUCGGCCUGGCGGCGAGUGGCGAACGGGCGAGUAAUUCAUCGGAACGUGCGCAGUUGUGUGGGAUAGCUGGGUGACAGCCGGAUUCAUACCGUAUACGCCCUGAGGGCCAACGCGGGGGAUCUUCGGACCUUGCGCUCUUGCAGCGGCCGAUGGCAGAUUAGCUAGUUGGCGGGGUAAAGGCCUACCAAGGCGACGAUCCGUAGCUGGUCUGAGAGGACGACCAGCCACACUGGAACUGAGACACGGCCCAGACUCCUACGGGAGGCAGCAGUGGGGAAUUUUGGACAAUGGGCGAAAGCCUGAUCCAGCAAUGCCGCGUGUGUGAUGAAGGCCUUCGGGUUGUAAAGCACUUUUGGCGGGAACGAAAAGGACUAUGCCAAUACCACGGUGCGAUGACGGUACCCGAAGAAUAAGCACCGGCUAACUUCGUG
rnacentral:rRNA from 1 species